rnacentral:rRNA from 1 species
CCAACAGGGAUUGCCUCAGUAACGGCGAGUGAAGCGGCAACAGCUCAAAUUUGAAAUCUGGCCCCAGGCCCGAGUUGUAAUUUGCAGAGGAUGCUUCUGGCAAGGUGCCUUCCAAGUCCCCUGGAACGGGGCGCCGAAGAGGGUGAGAGCCCCGUCCGGUUGGCCGCCAAGCCUGUGUGAAGCUCCUUCGACGAGUCGAGUAGUUUGGGAAUGCUGCUCUAAACGGGAGGUAGACCCCUUCUAAAGCUAAAUACCGGCCAGAGACCGAUAGCGCACAAGUAGAGUGAUCGAAAGAUGAAAAGCACUUUGAAAAGAGGGUUAAAAAGUACGUGAAAUUGUUGAAAGGGAAGCGCUUGUGACCAGACGUGUGCCGGGGUGCUCAGCGGGCGUUCUCGCCCGUGCACUCGCCCCGGCACAGGCCAGCGUCGGUUCGCGCGGGGGGACAAAGGCGCCGGGAACGUAGCUCCUCCGGGAGUGUUAUAGCCCGGCGUGCCAUGCCCCCGCGCGGACCGAGGUUCGCGCUCCGCAAGGACGCUGGCGUAAUGGUCUCCAGCGGCCCGUCUUGAAACACGGACCAAGGAGUCGAGGUUUUGCGCGAGUGUUUGGGUGUCAAACCCGCACGCGUAAUGAAAGUGAACGCAGGUGGGAGCUUCGGCGCACCACCGACCGAUCCUGAUGUUCUCGGAUGGAUUUGAGUAGGAGCGUAGGGCCUCGGACCCGAAAGAUGGUGAACUAUACGUGGAUAGGGUGAAGCCAGAGGAAACUCUGGUGGAGGCUCGCAGCGGUUCUGACGUGCAAAUCGAUCGUCAAAUCUGCGUAUGGGGGCGAAAGACUAAUCGAACCAU